UCUGCCUAAGUGGGGAAUAACACCGGGAAACCGGUGCUAAUACCGAUACGAUCAUGAUGUCUUCGGAUGUGUGAUGAAAGGAGCAAUUCGCUCUUGGAGGAGCCCGCGGCUGAUUAGCUAGUUGGUGAGGUAAUGGCUCACCAAGGCAACGAUCAGUAGCCGGUCUGAGAGGACGGUCGGCCACACUGGAACUGAGACACGGUCCAGACUCCUACGGGAGGCAGCAGUGGGGAAUUUUUCGCAAUGGGGGCAACCCUGACGAAGCAACGCCGCGUGGAUGAUGAAGUCUCUUGGGACGUAAAAUCCUUUCGACGGGGACGAAACCGCAAGGUUGACGGUACCCGUAGAAGAAGCCCCGGCUAACUCCGUGCCAGCAGCCGCGGUAAUACGGGGGGGGCAAGCGUUGUUCGGAAUUACUGGGCGUAAAGGGCGCGUAGGCGGCUCGCUAAGUUGAAUGUGAAAACUCUGGGCUUAACCCAGAGCCUGCAUUCAA
rnacentral:rRNA from 1 species